rnacentral:lncRNA from 1 species
UUUGAGUCCCUGUCCUCUGUGUCUGUGAGUGAAUGUUAAAAUACCAGGGACUACCCCAUAUGGAAUUGCUGAGUUUUUUCAAAUUUCAAAAUUUCUGAGAUCUCAAAAUUUCAAAUCAUUUCCAAAUGAUCUCAAGUCUAUUUCAUUGAGCUUCUACAGGUCUUUUUUGUUUUUCUUUUUAAAUAUCAGUCAUUGCUUAUGCAUACGGGAUUAUGUUCCAUGACUGGCCUAUGGUGCUCAACAUCAGAAAGUACCGAAUCCUAUGUAAAGUAGAACAAUUACAGCAUUAUACUGUAGUAAUAUUCCCUGUGUCAGUAUCAAAUUUGGGACCCGUAUUAACUAAAACGAGGGUCACUAGCGCUGUCGUACCACCGCGACGUCCAGUCUGGUCAUGAGGAAAGUUACGAGGUGACUAAAGGGAGGGUAGCAUAUACAGUGUGGAAACACUGGGCAGAGGUGCUGUUCCAAGGUGGAACACAAGAGGGCGCUGCCCAGUUUGGCACAUGAUGUUUUUAACAUUGUUUUUUUUUUUUUUGUGUGGAAUUUUCCACUGCUACGUUUGCACCCCUGGGAUGACAGUACCCCAGACGGAGGACUCGGGGUCCUGCCUUGUUACUUAUGAAAGGGAGACGUUUCUAUGACUCUCAAGACGAUAACCAGGAGUCGUGUCCAGCUGUGCGCAAACCCUAACUCAAUCCCUUGUCCCUCUCCUUCCAGGAACAUGUCAGCCUGCCCAGGACCAAGAACUUCACCUCCGUCAGCCCAAAGAAAUGCUCUCUCUUGGUGCGAGGAGGACUUUGCGCACUUAUGGACGCCCAACUGUAUAUAGAGGUCGGGGGACAGUUGAGAUUUCACGGACGGGGCAAUUAUGGAAGCGACUGGAACCUUCUCCUGCGCCGUAGGAAACGGGUUGUGGGGGUUUUUAAUCGUAACCUGUUAGCAGCUGUGCUUCUACUGUGCGUUGGUUGGUUUUCUUGGACUCGAACCUGCAACCAGACCCGCCGGCUCGUAACCACAGGUUGUGCGUGCGUGCGUGCGUGCAUGAGUGUGUGCGUGCGUGUAAGGGCUUCUCCUUGGCCAAACCUAUUCUUUUCAGUUUUUAAAAAUCCUUUGAAAAAGAAAUGGGUCGCCUCGGAGACAAAGCUCAAAUCUAUGAUGGGUGCAUUUAAAAAAAAAAUAAUUCCCCUAACACCGUCUAUGCAUUUUAUAGAUAUUUAUGGAGUUUUUCUUCCAUAUCGAUGGGACUUUCUCUCUGGACGCUUUACACUUUGGAAAUGCAAAACGGAGACGGUGCGGAUUGGAGCAGCCGGAGACGUGCUAAAAAUUUGGAAUGCAAUCUUGACUCUUUUUUUUUUUUUUUCUUUUUAAUGCCUUUGGGGGAUUGAACCCGCUGUGCCUGAGCUCCACGCUCGGCCCCCAUCUCUGAACGGUUCAUCAGAGAAGGUUCUGGACUUAGAAGAUAAUGUCUCUUCCUGGCCUUUGCCUCCCAAACUCAAUCUAUUGAUUCAUUUAAUAAUUAAUCUGUUAGAAAUAAAUCAGCCAGCUGUCUGUAUACCUGGAGUGUCCCCUGUGAGCAGAGUAACAAAUGGUGCCUGGACACAUGAGUCCUGGGGACUCCCUUAUUUUUUGUGCCAGGGAUUGAACUCAGGGGUGCUUAACCACAGAGCCCUGUCCCCAGCCCUUUUUUAUAUUUUAUUUAGAGACAGGGCCUCCCUGAGUUUUUUAGGGCCUCCUUUUGGCUGAGGCUGGCUUUGAGCUCAUGAUCCUCCUGCCUCAGCCUCCUGAGCCCCUGGGAUAACAGGUGGGUGCCUCCGCACCUGGCUAGGUUUUUAUUUUAUUUUAUUUUUUUUAUCCACCCAUUUAAUACUGGAAAAAAAAAAAUCCAAUGUGCAGAAUCACGGGUGACCGGAUUCUUCCAUGAGAUUGCAGUCAGCCCCCCGACGAUGCAGAGCAAGUUAGACACUAAGAGGAAAUCCAGCAACAGGGGACACUGUUAUCGCCAACGUUGACAGAAACCUCAGGGGCAUGUGCCUUCUCUAAGGACUGGGCCACGGUCACUGGAUGUGGCCUCAGGUAGAGACCGAUGUCGUUGACCCCAAUCACGCACUUGGAACCACUGUUUCAUCUCAUCCCCAAAGAGUUGACUCUGUGGGGACCUUUGCAAAAUUUCCCGAUAGGCAUCCAACCUCAUCCGGGUGCCAAGAGUCAAAAUAAAAUACGUGCAACUUUGUAUCUGCAAAAGGCCCAGGGGAGAUGUUGCUUUUUAUUUAUUUUUUUUUCUUUUAUGAUUUAUGAAUCGGCGGCAUUUUGUUCAACAGGAACAGCUUCAAAGAUAGAGAUUGGCAAGAAAAAAAAAAUAGAGAUAUAUACGGCCCGGGGGGGAUCCCCGUUUCCCCAGGGAGAAGUCUCACCUCUUGCCUUCUUGCUUGUGCAUGGAGAAAUUCAGGAAGGAAAUAAAAGGAUCACAGGGAAUUUAACACCCAAAUGCCACAGAAUCUUGCAUGCGUGUCCUGCAAGCAGAUGCACAAUCACUGGAUCAUAAAUCAAUUUUUUUGUUUGUUUGUUUGUUUCAUUCUGUGCACCUUAAGAGAUCAGGUGAUUCCAACUCACUUUUUCAGAAUGCCCCCCUGGGGACAGUGACAUUUUCGCACACCUUUGCCACACGCCGUCACCUACGUUGCCUGCAACUUUUGGGACCAUUUCAACUGUGAAACCGGCUCAGGACUGUUCAUAGUGGACCCCAAGCCUUCACGGCUGAGGCGCCGGGGGGGCACCCCAGGACUUGCAGAUGGGUCCCCCCCCCCCCACGUCUGUCAAAGUCACUGGGUUGACAAAGUGCUUUUCCCGAUCAUGUCGACAUUUUUUUUCCUGUCGAAUUUGCUUUUGCAAAAACCACUGGGUCUUUUGUCCCCCGGGACCCUCUUCCCUGAGAACAGGAGGACGCCCUGUGAUUUUUUUUUUUUAAAUAAGUUUUCAUGUUGUAAACUCUGUUCACUGUGCAGUUCGUCCCUUUUGUGGAGGGGUCUGUUAUUUAAGUUAAAAAAAAAAUCACUCCACGACGUGGGUGGGAUGGGAAGCCCUCCCUCAGGCCGAUCUUGUCAUUGGAUAUUAAUUUUUGCAAUCCUGCACAACUUACAGCUUGAGUCUUUGUGUGUGUGUGUGUGUGAGCUGUGUCUUGUGCUCUGGGCACACGUAGGUCCUCGGUGCACCCUUUGCAGAUCUGGCGUGUGCACCCUGCAGGGCGCUGGGUCCCAGAUCCUCACGAGGAAUUCCAGAAGCCUGUUUCUCAUCCCGCCGAUGCAUUGCACAAAGGAAAUCACUGUGAUUUGUGUGUGUGUGUGUGUAUAUAUAUAUAUAGGCCCUAGGAAAAUUUUACUGCUAAUUUAUGGAAUAAUAUUAUGGAUUCCAGGUUUUGUUUAAUAAUAAUAAUAAAAUAAAAACUUUGUAUCUUUUAAGAAAUCUGAAUCGGCUCCUCUGCUUCUGUCUGAGAACCCACGUUCU